rnacentral:rRNA from 1 species
AACGAACGCUGGCGGCAGGCUUAACACAUGCAGGUCGAGCGCCCCGCAAGGGGAGCGGCAGACGGGUGAGUAACGCGUGGGAAUCUACCCAUCUCUACGGAAUAACGCAUGGAAACGUGUGCUAAUACCGUAUACGUCCUUCGGGAGAAAGAUUUAUCGGAGAUGGAUGAGCCCGCGUUGGAUUGGCUAGUUGGUGGGGUAAAGGCCUACCAAGGCGACGAUCCAUAGCUGGUCUGAGAGGAUGAUCAGCCACACUGGGACUGAGACACGGCCCAGACUCCUACGGGAGGCAGCAGUGGGGAAUAUUGGACAAUGGGCGCAAGCCUGAUCCAGCCAUGCCGCGUGAGUGAUGAAGGCCCUAGAGUUGUAAAGCUCUUUCACCGGUGAAGAUAAUGACGGCAACCGGAGAAGAAGCCCCGGCUAACUUCGUGCCAGCCGCCGCGGUAACAC